rnacentral:rRNA from 1 species
AACCUCCGCAAUGUGAGAAAUCGCGACGGGGGGAUCCCAAGUGCCAUUCUUAACGGGAUGGCUUUUCAUUAGUGUAAAGAGCUUUUGGAAUAAGGGCUGGGCAAGACCGGUGCCAGCCGCCGCGGUAACACCGGCAGCUCUAGUGGUAACAAUUUUUAUUGGGCCUAAAGCGUCCGUAGCCGGUUUAAUAGGUCUCUGGUGAAAUCCUGUAGCUUAACUGUGGGAAUUGCUGGAGAUACUAUUAGACUUGAGACCGGGAGAGGUUAGAGGUACUCCCAGGGUAGAGGUGAAAUUCUGUAAUCCUGGGAGGACCGCCUGUUGCGAAGGCGUCUAACUGGAACGGUUCUGAUGGUGAGGGACGAAAGUUAGGGGCGCGAACCGGAUUAGAUACCCGGGUAGUCCUAACUGUAAACGAUGCGGACUUGGUGUUAGGGUGGCUUUGAGCUGCUCCAGUGCCGAAGGGAAGCUGUUAAGUCCGCCGCCUGGGAAGUAGGCCGCAAGACUGAAACUUAAAGGAAUU